UACGGAGGAUGCGAGCGUUAUCCGGAUUUAUUGGGUUUAAAGGGUGCGCAGGCGGAUUUUUAAGUCAGCGGUCAAAUCGUGGGGCUCAACCCCACCCAGCCGUUGAAACUGGGGAUCUAGAGUGUGCGAGAGGUAUGCGGAAUGCGUGGUGUAGCGGUGAAAUGCAUAGAUAUCACGCAGAACCCCGAUUGCGAAGGCAGCAUACCGGUGCACAACUGACGCUCAGGCACGAAAGCGUGGGUAUCGAACAGG
rnacentral:rRNA from 1 species